rnacentral:tRNA from 1 species
GCAUAAAUAUUCCAAGGGUAGAUUGGAGCCUUGCAAGCCUAAAAUCCGGGUUCGAGCCCCGGUUGAUGCA